GUCAAGGUCACCCCAUUUGGAAGAUACCUAGACCCCAGCAGCGUUACCUGACCUGUGACACCUUUGUCCCUGUGUCCUUCCUCCUCUGCUUGUCCAUGGUGAAUGUGGCCUCUCCGUCUCAUGGGCGUACUCCCAGCGCACUGGGAGCUUCGGGUACACAGGAGUCCUGCUUUACUUCCUGUGUUGAGCCCAGGGACUGCCCAAGAAAAUGCCCAGUACAGGAAUGCUUCCACCAGGGGUCACAGGGAUGGCUCUGCUGCCCUGGGGGCUGAGUUGGCCACCUGUCCAGUGCCCCAAGUUAACAAGCAAAGCCACAUGUGGGCAGUGGCUGGGAAUCAACCCUGAUUGUCAAGCACAAGAGGCCUGAUGGGCCACAUGAAGAGAGUGCCCACAACCCAGAGGAGCUCCUGGAUACAGCUGUGCGACCAUGAUUUCCAGUGGAAGACGCCACAGCCCCAUUCAGGAGGAACCUCCAAACCUGGGGGCCUCAGGGUGAUGCUGUGACUCACACCAGCAGUAAAAGAACUUCCAAGCAGCUGAGCUGGAGGAAAAAGGGACUUGUGGUAAAUCGUAUUUUCCAAAAAUGGGCACCUUACCACUCUCCCAUCAAGAGGUGGUGCUACUGUUUGAAUGUGUCCCCCAAAGUUCAUGCGUUGAAAACUUAAACAGCAAUGCGAUUGGGUUGAAUGGUGGGCAUUUUCAACGCAAUUGCAAGGGUGAUUGGCUGAGGAAGGCUCUGCCCUCACGAAUGCAUUGAUAUCAUGGUUGAGGGAGUGGGCUCCUGUUGAGAGAAUGGGUACAGCCUCUCCCUCUGCCUCACACGUGCGCUUGUCCUUCUGACAGGAGAUUGUGGAGGAAGAAGGUUCUUGAAAGAUGCCGGCCCCUAGACCUUGGACUUCUCAGCCUCCAGAACUGUAAGAAUUAAAUCUCUGUUCCUUAUGA